AAAGAAGAGCGCUCCCUCCUUCGGGAGCCGCCCUCCAACCCUUUGUGUACCUUACCCGGUUGCCUAGGCGCGGGGAGUCGAGGCUGGAUUUCAGCCUCGCGCUUGCCGAACGGCUCGCACCGCGCCGCUAAAAGGCCCCUUCAAACUCUUUGUCGUAACGCGGAGUCUGAGUUCAAAUUUUGAAUAAAAUCA
rnacentral:misc_RNA from 1 species